UAUCUCGUUGACUAAUAGGUAAGUCAUAAAUUUUUGGUAUUUACUAUUGAGUGUUCGAAUCACUCCGAGAUAA
rnacentral:tRNA from 1 species